GACUGCUCCGGUGGCCUAGUGGUUAGAGCGCCCGCCUCUGAUGUUGGAGGUCGCAGUUUCAAACCCAGGCUAAGUCA